CCUACGGGAGGCAGCAGUAAGGAAUAUUGGACAAUGGACGGAAGUCUGAUCCAGCCAUGCCGCGUGAAGGAUGAAGGCGUCAGCGUUGUAAACUUCUUUUGGAUGGGGACGGGUACCAUCAGAAUAAGCACCGGCUAACUCCGUGCCAGCAGCCGCGGUAAUACGGAGGGUGCGAGCGUUAUCCGGAAUCACUGGGUUUAAAGGGUGCGUAGGCGGUCUGAUAAGUCAGUUGUGAAAUUCCUCGGCUUAACCGAUGGACUGCGAUUGAUACUGUCAGACUUGAAUCAGGUUGAGGUAGGCGGAAUGUGACAUGUAGCGGUGAAAUGCUUAGAUAUGUCAUAGAACACCGAUUGCGAAGGCAGCUUGCUGGGCUUAAUUGACGCUGAGGCACGAAAGCGUGGGGAGCAAACAGGAUUAGAUACCCUUGUAGUC
rnacentral:rRNA from 1 species